UACGUAGGGGGCAAGCGUUGUCCGGAUUUAUUGGGCGUAAAGAGCGUGUAGGCGGUCAUGUAGGUCCGUUGUGAAAACUCGAGGCUCAACCUCGAGACGCCGAUGGAAACCAUGUGACUAGAGUCCGGAAGAGGAGAGUGGAAUUCCUGGUGUAGCGGUGAAAUGCGCAGAUAUCAGGAGGAACACCAGCGGCGAAGGCGGCGCUCUGGGCCGGUACUGACACUGAGGAGCGAAAGCGUGGGUAGCAAACAGG
rnacentral:rRNA from 1 species